CCAGAGCUAUAUAAAUUCUGGGCUGAGCUAACUACACGGCCCAGCCCAGGCUGUGGCACGAAGUGGAUUCCUGAAGGCUCUAGGAAGCUGUGAAGCAGCCCUGCAAGUGAGAGCACCAAGCAGAGUGACCCAGAGACAUGGAGCCAUGGGGCUGGUGAUGAUUCUGUGAUGAUGUCUGUUGGGUGACAUUUAUAAACACGUCAUCUGCUUUGACAGGUACAAUGAGCUGCAAGGAUUUUCCAAGGAGACACUUCUGGCAGUGUAAAAUCCCUCACAUAGGCAACACAGCCCUGCUGAAUGACAACAGAAAAUGAAAGGGAAAGAGGAACUAUGUAGAUUCAGAACUGAUGUGAUCCCAGCAUACUAUGCUUCUUUGACAAGACAGCAUGAGAAUCCGUGCAAGCAGAGGUUCUUCAAUAUUUCCUCCCUCAGAACCCCAUCAUGGGUCCUAGUAAUUAAGAGAAUAAUCCUUGGAGCUGACUAAAGAA